UACGUAGGGGGCGAGCGUUGUCCGGAAUUAUUGGGCGUAAAGAGCGCGCAGGCGGUAUGACAAGUCAGAUGUGAAAGAGGCCGGCUUAACCGGCAAGGGUCAUUUGAAACUGUCAGACUAGAGUGCAGCAGAGGAUAGUGGAAUUCCCGGUGUAGUGGUGAAAUGCGUAGAUAUCGGGAGGAACACCAGUGGCGAAGGCAGGUCUCUGGGCCACUACUGACGCUGAGAAGCGAAAGCAUGGGGAGCGAACAGG
rnacentral:rRNA from 1 species